rnacentral:tRNA from 1 species
GCAUUAAUGGGGUAGUGGUAACCUGGGUCGUUGCCAUAACCAUAUACCGAUGCUCGACCCGCCGGGGGUUCGAUUCCCUCUUAAUGCA